GGAGCCUGUGGCUUAAUUUCACUCAACACGGGGAAACUGACCAGGUCCAGACAUAGUAAAGAUUGACAUACUGAAAGUGCUUUCUUGUUUCUAUGGGUGGCGUUGAUGAUUUCUCUUAUUUGGUAGAGCAAUUCGUCUAGUUAAUCCCAUUAAUGAACAAGACCUCAGCUUGCUAAGUAGCUACAUAGAGGCAUCCUCCACUGUCAGCUUCUUAGAAGGACUAGGCCAUUUAGGCCACGAAAGUUUAGGCAAUAACAGACCUAUGAUGCCCAAAGAUAAAGUAGGGCCGCAUGCAUGCUAC
rnacentral:rRNA from 1 species